UUGGAGAACUUUUUCAACAAAACAAUUUUAUUUGUGAGAGCAAAUGUCAAGAAAAUCAUCUAGAGUUAUAAAACCCCCCAAAAGGUUGAUUGAGGACAAUCGUGACCACAAUGGCACAUUUUCAUCUGAAGCAGACAUUCCUUCUGGUGAUGGGUCACCCACGCAGAGCACUCCCUGGCAGUGUGAGGAGUGCAAUGUGGGCCUGUGUCUGCAGCUACAGAGGAACUGUUUCAGAGAAUACCACAAAGGCCAAAAAAUGCCUGGCCUUUCUUGAAGAAAAUGGAUUAUAAAACAAAAACUGAAAGUCCAAGGCUCCCAAACUUUCUGGGGCAGAUGUA